rnacentral:rRNA from 1 species
AUAAUGGGUCAGCGACUUAUAUUCUGUAGCAAGGUUAACCGAAUAGGGGAGCCGGAGGGAAACCGAGUCUUAACCGGGCGUUAAGUUGCAGGGUAUAGACCCGAAACCCGGUGAUCUAGCCAUGGGCAGGUUGAAGGUUGGGUAACACUAACUGGAGGACCGAACCGACUAAUGUUGAAAAAUUAGCGGAUGACCUGUGGCUGGGGGUGAAAGGCCAAUCAAACCGGGAGAUAGCUGGUUCUCCCCGAAAGCUAUUUAGGUAGCGCCUCGUGAAUUCAUCUCCGGGGGUAGAGCACUGUUUCGGCUAGGGGGCCAUCCCGGCUUACCAACCCGAUGCAAACUGCGAAUACCGGAGAAUGUUAUCACGGGAGACACACGGCGGGUGCUAACGUCCGUCGUGAAGAGGGAAACAACCCAGACCGCCAGCUAAGGUCCCAAAGUCAUGGUUAAGUGGGAAACGAUGUGGGAAGGCCCAGACAGCCAGGAUGUUGGCUUAGAAGCAGCCAUCAUUUAAAGAAAGCGUAAUAGCUCACUGGUCGAGUCGGCCUGCGCGGAAGAUGUAACGGGGCUAAACCAUGCACCGAAGCUGCGGCAGCGAACGUAUCACUUAAAGCGAUUCAGCG